rnacentral:rRNA from 1 species
CCUACGGGGGGCAGCAGUGAGGAAUAUUGGUCAAUGGACGAAAGCCUGAACCAGCCAAGUAGCGUGAAGGAUGACUGCCCUAGGGGUUGUAAACUUCUUUUAUAAAGGAAUAAAACGUGGCACGUGUCCCUUUUUGCAUGUACUUUAUGAAUAAGGCUCGGCUAACUCCGUGCCAGCAGCCGCGGUAAUACAGAGGAUCCGAGCGUUAUCCGGAUUUAUUGGGUUUAAAGGGAUCGUAGGUGGGUUGUUAGGUCAGUUGUGAAAGUUUGGGGCUCAACCGUAAAACUGCAGUUGAUACUGGCAGUCUUGAGUGCAUUAGAGGUAAGCGGAAUGCGUGGUGUAGCGGUGAAAUGCUUAGAUAUCACGAAGAACUCCGAUUGCGAAGGCAGCUUACUGAGCUGGAACUGACGCUGAUGCACGAAAGUGUGGGGAUCAAACAGGAUUAGAUACCCUUGUAGUC